rnacentral:rRNA from 1 species
CAGCAGCCACGGUAAUACGUAGGGUGCGAACGUUAAUCGGAAUUACUGGGCGUAAAGCGUGCGCAGGCGGUUGUGUAAGACAGGUGUGAAAUCCCCGGGCUUAACCUGGGAACUGCGCUUGUGACUGCACAGCUAGAGUAUGGCAGAGGGGGGUGGAAUUCCACGUGUAGCGGUGAAAUGCGUAGAGAUGUGGAGGAAUACCGAUGGCGAAGGCAGCCCCCUGGGCCAAUACUGACGCUCAUGCACGAAAGCGUGGGGAGCAAACAGGAUUAGAUACCCCUGUAGUCCCUGUCUCUUAUAC